rnacentral:snRNA from 1 species
AUACUUACCUGGUGUCGGGCUGUCCGGUGAUCAGCGCGGCCGGGGUCCCGUGCUGAGGCUAACCAUUGCACUGCGGUUGGCUGACGCACGCCACUUUCCCAAACAGGGAUAGAUGGGGCAUGUAAUUUUUGGUAGUGGGGCUUGGCGUUCGCGCCAGCCCCUG